rnacentral:misc_RNA from 1 species
AGAGAGGGGACAUAUAUUUGUGUUGCUAGAGUUCAGUUCCAUAGGCCAAUAAACAGAAAAAAGAAAUAAAUAAUUACAUUAUUGCAAAGUCCCAAGUUCCAAACACCAUAAAAGAUGAAGGAAACUGUUUUACGGCUCAAUAAAUGAAUCAUAACAUUACAACUGAGUUGAUCCAUUAGAGGUUUCUUUGUUAUCAUUUUUUUUCUUUU